rnacentral:miRNA from 1 species
UGAGAUCAUUCGAUGAGCCCAGA